rnacentral:rRNA from 1 species
UACGAAGGGGGCUAGCGUUGCUCGGAAUCACUGGGCGUAAAGGGUGCGUAGGCGGGUCUUUAAGUCAGGGGUGAAAUCCUGGAGCUCAACUCCAGAACUGCCUUUGAUACUGAGGAUCUUGAGUAUGGGAGAGGUGAGUGGAACUGCGAGUGUAGAGGUGAAAUUCGUAGAUAUUCGCAAGAACACCAGUGGCGAAGGCGGCUCACUGGCCCGGUACUGACGCUGAGGUGCGAAAGCGUGGGGAGCAAACAGG